AUCCAUCUGACGAGUCUCAAAUAGGACGAACGGCGUGUCCUGAAU
rfam:Schistosoma mattheei strain Denwood, Zambia genome assembly, scaffold: SMTD_scaffold0000762